CGGAAGGAUCAUUAUUAUAAUGCGUGGAAAUGCCCCUAACAAGGGCUCUCUAGAAAACUCUAAACUUACUGUCUGAGAAGGCCAUGUGCCGUAAUCUUUAAACAUAUUAAAACCUUCAACAACGGAUCUCUUGGUUCUCGCAUCGAUGAAGAACGCAGCGAAAUGCGAUAAGUAAUGUGAAUUGCAGAAUUCAGUGAAUCAUCGAAUCUUUGAACGCACAUUGCGCCCUUUGGUAUUCCAUAGGGCAUGCCUGUUCGAGCGUCACUAACAACACCAUCACAAAGACUGUGGUAUUGGCAGAAGUGGGCAGGGCUAGCAGUGCUUAACCUCACUCUGCUGAAAUGAAUAGGCCGGAAAUGGAGACCAUUGUAACAAACCUUCAGAGUAUCUUAAUCAUACUAAAUUAGUUUGUAGGCUGGUCAGAAUUCAGGCCAUUUGACCCCCAUUCUGUGUAAAGCAGUAAUGUUGACCUCGGAUCAGGUAGGGAUACCCGCUGAACUUAA
rnacentral:rRNA from 1 species